UACGUAGGGGGCAAGCGUUGUCCGGAUUUAUUGGGCGUAAAGAGCUCGUAGGCGGUCAGUCGCGUCUGCUGUGAAAACUCGGGGCUUAACUCCGGGCCUGCAGUGGGUACGGGCUGACUAGAGUGCGGUAGGGGAGACUGGAAUUCCUGGUGUAGCGGCGGAAUGCGCAGAUAUCAGGAGGAACACCAACGGCGAAGGCAGCUCGCUGGGACGGUACUGACGCUGAGGCGCGAAAGCGUGGGGAGCGAACAGG
rnacentral:rRNA from 1 species